AAGUCGUAACAAGGUUUCCGUAGGUGAACCUGCGGAAGGAUCAUUACAUGAUAAACAUAUAUAUGUGUAUGUGAAUGUAAUGCGAUGUCUCACGAUGUCGCAUCACAUUCCAUUAUGCAUAUCAUAUCUACCCUUGUGAACCGUAAUUGACACCUUUGGUGAGCGUGUGGCUCGAAAGACUCCGCGCCCGCCAGACGGUACAAACAAUUGAAAAACAUUCAACACAUGCAGACUUAUGAUCACAAUAUAUUAAUUGAAAUACAACUUUUAACAAUGGAUCUCUUGGCUCUU
rnacentral:misc_RNA from 1 species